rnacentral:snRNA from 1 species
UUGGAAAGGUAACCGCGAUUUUU